rnacentral:rRNA from 1 species
UACGGGGGGGGGCAAGCGUUGUUCGGAAUUACUGGGCGUAAAGGGCUCGUAGGGGGCCAACUAAGUCAGACGUGAAAUCCCUCGGCUUAACCGGGGAACUGCGUCUGAUACUGGAUGGCUUGAGUUUGGGAGAGGGACGCGGAAUUCCAGGUGUAGCGGUGAAAUGCGUAGAUAUCUGGAGGAACACCGGUGGCGAAGGCGGCGUCCUGGACCAACACUGACACUGAGGAGCGAAAGCCAGGGGAGCAAACGGG